rnacentral:rRNA from 1 species
UACGGAGGGUGCGAGCGUUGUCCGGAAUCACUGGGCGUAAAGGGCGCGUAGGCGGCGCGGGCAGUCAACGGUGAAAGCUCGGAGCUCAACUCCGAGUCGGCCGUCGAUACUCCCGUGCUUGAGCACUGUAGAGGCAGAUGGAAUUCCGGGUGUAGCGGUGGAAUGCGUAGAGAUCCGGAAGAACACCGGUGGCGAAGGCGGUCUGCUGGGCAGUAGCUGACGCUAAUGCGCGACAGCGUGGGGAGCAAACAGG